rnacentral:rRNA from 1 species
UACGUAGGUGGCAAGCGUUGUCCGGAUUUACUGGGCGUAAAGAGCGCGCAGGCGGUCGUUCAAGUCGCGUGUGAAAGCCCCCGGCUCAACUGGGGAGGGUCACGCGAUACUGAUCGACUCGAAGGCAGGAGAGGGAAGUGGAAUUCCCGGUGUAGUGGUGAAAUGCGUAGAUAUCGGGAGGAACACCAGUGGUGAAGGCGACUUCCUGGCCUGUUCUUGACGCUGAGGCGCGGAAGCUAGGGGAGCAAACGGG